GGGGGCGAACUGGUUUCGACGGAGGUAAUGAGACACAAGUUGCACGUCGAGGUCCCACCCACCUCGCUAAACUGGUGGAAACAAACUUAACUGCAGAACCUUUAGCAGUCGCGGCCUAAUAGAAAGGCACGCCGUUCCUGGGGCCCUCUCCCGCAGGACCUCCGGAGCGUCAACCGGGCGGGAUAGCGAGCCGGUUUCGCCCUGAGGCCGGGGAGCGAAACUCCUUCGGGGCUGGUUUCCCGGUGCUCUUCCCCUUCGAGCGCCGGGCGACGAGAUCAAUGAAGGGGAUAAGCGUGUAGAGACUUGCUGUUGAAUGCUUUCGGACGCGGGUUCGAUUCCCGCCGCCUCCACCA
rnacentral:tmRNA from 2 species